rnacentral:rRNA from 1 species
AUUGAACGCUUGCGGCAUGCUUUACACAUGCAAGUCGAACGGUAACAGGCCGCAAGGUGCUGACGAGUGGCGAACGGGUGAGUAAUGCAUCGGUACGUGCCCAGUCGUGGGGGACAACGCAGCGCAAGCUGCCCUACUACCGCAUACGACCGAUCGAUGACAGCGGGGGACCGGAAGGCCUCGCGCGCUUGCAGCGGCCGAUGUCAGAUUAGGUAGUUGGUGGGGUAAAGGCCCACCAAGCCAACGAACUGUAGCUGGUCUAAGCGGACGACCAGCCACACUGGGAUUGAGACACGGCCCAGAUUGCUACGUGAUGCAGCAGUGGAGAAUUUUGGACAGUGGGCGCAAUCCUGAUCCAGCAAUGCCUCGUGCAGGAAGAAGGCCUUCGGGUUGUAAACUGCUUUUGUACGGAACGAAACGGUCCUGGUUAAUACCUGGGGCUAAUGACGGUACCGUAAGAAUAAGCACCGGCUAACUACGGGCCAGCCGCCGCAGUAAAAC